CUGUUUGCUGCGGAGGAACAAUGACAUGUUUAUUUGCAACUGAGCUGAUGAGAGACGUCAGAUGCUUUUGUGUGUGUGUGUGUGUGUGUGUGUGUGUGUGUGUGUGUGUGUGUGUGUGUGGUGGGGAGGGGGUCAUUUUAAAGGUCUGUGUAAAUUUGAUGCUGCAAAGCUUGGGGAUGGAGCGAAUGAGAACCAUACAACAAUCAAAUCUAUUGUAGUGUACACACACACACACACACACACACACACACACACACACACACACACACACGCGCGUGCACAGUUUCAUGAUGGCAACAGAAAUUUUACUUACGUCGCCACCCCUAAAUUUUCACAUUUACAAAAAUGAUUUCAUUAAAGCCAUUAAAACUAUGCAAGUAUAAAUAAGAUAAAAAAUGCAAAGUCAACCAUUUAAAAAAUAAUCCAUCAUACAUUUUAAUUUAAAAAAAAAAAGUUAAAAUAAAAUAAGCAACAACAACAAUAAAAGUUAGCUUUUUAUUUUUAAGUAUUAUGAUAGCAAGAUUCUGGAACUCCUCAAUUCACUUUUUCCAGGAAAAUGUCUUUCCAAAUAUAACCAGGUUGUGUAAAAAAGCUUUUUUUUUUUUUGCUAAUAAAAGAUUACUUUUUUUUUUUUAAUCAGAUAUCAGUUAAGUUUUUAAAGAUUAAUUUUGGGCACUGAUUCUGAAUAUGCCUUUGUUUUAUUUCUCGUCGAGCACAUCAGGUUUCCCUCAUAAUAAUAAUAAUAAUAAUAAUAUAAUGGAAUAUCAUAAUAUUAGUUUAGGUUCAGCAACAGGUUUUUUGUUUUUUUUUGGAAACGUCAUGGCUAGAAAUGACAAGGUAUGGUAAAAUCCGUAUCCUGCAACCCUUCCCCCCCACGCCCCUUCAAAUACCUGAUGUGCUAGAAAAAAAGUAAACACAUUCUUGAAAUCAGAGUCAGAAAUGCGUUUCGGGACACAUGAAGACAUCUCUGAUUCCAAUUUGUUGUUGUCUAGUGUAACUUUCCAUUUUUCUUUAGCAUUCGCCACGUGAACGGAGCACAAAAGUGUUGUUUGUGAAAACCGGCCAAUCGCGUGACUCCUUUUAGGCGCCGAGAAGACGCAGACAGCAGGAGGCGGACGCAUUUUGGGAUUGAUUCGAUUUAAUGAUUAGGACUCGGAUGGACGGCCGGGCCAACCCCCGUCCUCCCUCUCGACAAGCCGUCAUUGUCACAUUCCUGAAGCGCCGUCCGCGCGACAAGACGCCACAUUCACAAA